GGAAAAUGCAUGGGUUUGCAGUCACUAAUGUUGGUCACAUCGUUGAAUCCUAAAAUUGGUUAUGACAAUGCUGCGGCAGUUGCAAAGAAAGCCCACAAGGAGGGAUCCACUUUGAAGGAAGCUGCAUUGAAACUUGGAGUGCUAACCAGUGAAGAAUUUGAUACACUUGUGGUGCCUGAGAAGAUGAUUGGCCCAUCUGACUGACUGACUGACUGACAGAGACAGGUUUAGAAGCUGUUGAAAAUUGAUUUUCCGGCAUGAAUUGCCUUUAUGAUUCAUCUUUGCAUUGUCUCCCCGGGUGAAAUAAGGAUUAAAAGUGAUGUAUGUAAUUCAUAACGUUUACGAACGAUAUAGUGGUGGAGGUUUUGUUAUUUGGGUUAAUUUUGUUGACAAAAACUGCCGCCAACUGGGUCACAGAGGAGGAGAAUGCCUUCACAAAUUUUUGUAACAAUACAGUGUAUUGAGAAACUCACCCCGCAGAAUAAAAUGAAGUAAAAAUUU